CUGCUGCAGGGUACCUGGCAGAGCAAACAAGCAGAAGUCGCAUCCGAGAUGUGCAUAUAGAAAAAUUCAUGGCUUGUAUUAUGGUAUAAUACCAUCGUUUCUCAGGAGCAGGGUUCCAAACCAACAGAGUGAUGGAAGUGAUGAAGAGUAUUCACGUUAGAAGUUUCAAUACUAUGGGAGACCAACUGAGACUCCUUGGACCCAUUCCAUUCUGUUUUCUGCAGAAGUGACCUUAGGUCAUCUUAAAAGUGGAUG
rnacentral:lncRNA from 1 species